rnacentral:lncRNA from 1 species
CAGAUAUGACUUUGUUUAUCUUUAGAGAAUUUGGUGUGUAUAGCAGAUUUUAACUAGUCAUUUAGUUACUUUAGUAUAUUAGUGAUUUUGCCAGUGCUUAUUAUAAAUCAACCAUUUUCAAAUAACAAAAUCGUUUCUUAUCAAUUUUUUCCCUUAGUAGAUACUGUGGAUUCACUUAUUUUCGUGGGGACCAAUUUUUGUGGAGAACUUACAUGUUCGUGGAUAUUUAUUUUCAUGUGUUGAAGUCUGCAAACAAGCUUUUAGAAAAAUUCGUAUUAAUUGAUUAUUUAAUUUCGUGAUUAACCUGUACCUAUAAAAUCCACGAACAUUGGUAUCCAACAAAUAAUAAUGAAUCCACAGUAUAUAAAAGCAAAACAAACAAAAAAAACAACAUUUGUAUUCAAACAAAAUUUUUCUAGAAUCAUAAUAAUAAUAAGUCUAAUAAAUAUACUCUUCUCUAUUGUUGAAAACCAUAUGUUGAUCUCUAGGUGUCUUUUGUGUUUUUUUUCUAUUGUUUGGUUGCUGUUUUUGACAUAUACUUCAUAUCUCCAUAGUAAACUAAAUCCCUUUCAAUGUAAUUCGAACAAUAACAAUUUUACGGGUUUACAUGUAUAAAUAAGAGUGAAUAAUGAGACUUGUUUGUUGUCAGACAUUUUAGACUGCGAAUUUGAUUGAAGAUAGUCAGGAUAUACUUGUUAACCCUUUCCUCCAUAAUGACGUUUUUUGACGCCACCCCCUUUACUCCAUAAUGACGACUUUUGACGCCUGUGUAGUACCUCAGUUGAAACGCUUAGACUACGAAAUGUCUGCAUUGGACUUAAAAAAAUUAGCAUCCAAUAUGAAAAGGAUAUUCAUAAGAAUAUCUGAUUUGAAUUUCAUUGAUGAAAUAUUCAUUUUCACAAUGCAUUAAUACUUUAAACCCGAUGAUUUUUUUUUUAUUAAAAAAAUCCUAUGCAAAUCAAGUAUGUAAGAAAAUAAAUUCCACGGAGGAAAGGGUUAACCAAUCAUUGUGUCACAACUUCAUUCAAUGAAAGUAUAUUUAUGUCUUGAAUAUAAUUUAAUAUUCAUUUGUAAUGUAUCAAAAUAUAUAACAAAAUUAUCAUGAUUAUUAAAUUUGUACAGUAAUUUGAAACUUGUCAUAAAUCUGAUUGGUCAUAUAAAAACUAUGUCUAAAAGUUACUACUUUAUUUGUUUGAAGCAUCUGUUAUUGUUAUAGAAUUUUGGGAUUGCAUUAAGUUUCGGGCUGAUAUGGGGGUGUCAGGAUGAUACCCAGGCCGAUAAGGAAAAGUCCAUGCAUUAGUCUCAAUGUAUUGCCUCUCACUAAUUAAGUUAAUAUAGUUAUAUUAUUUAUAUUGUUCCGCUAUGAGUGCAAUCAAAACUAUUAUUUCUUUCCUUUACAAAGAAGGGUUGGUAUACUGGUUUACCUCUGUCCAUGUUUCCAUAUCAAUUUUGAUAUGACACCAUUUUGAGUUGUCGCAUGUUUGCUAUUUGAAUGAUGAUUCAUAUCAUAUCAUACAUUUCUAAACAUUCUGAUAAAUCAAAUUCUGUAACUUAACAGAAACAAAAAAAACAUUUUGCACAUCUGAGAGGUAUGUAGCUCCAACAUCUCUGCCAUUCCAAAACUAUCAGCUCUCAGCAUUCUUAUUAGGAUUAGUGUAAAAUAGUUCUUUGACUGCAGAAAACUGUAUAAUCUUGAUUCUUCUUUUUUAUUAUUAGAUAUAUGUAUGAUCUCAUUUGCUAUUGUAAGAUAAAUAAUUUCUGUAAAUAAUUAAAAUGUGUGCUUUUGUGAAUAGCGUUAAAGGGCAUAUUAACAAAGCAAUGUCUUUCUAGGACUAUUUUCAGUGGACUUGACAUACUGUUAGCAUAUUUUCAUAGAUAAUUUUUAUUUACCAGUCAAAAUUUUGACGGGACGUAUUAUGGUAUAUAAAUGUCCAGCAUCCGUCUGUCCGUCUAUCAGUCUGUCUGUCCCAUGUAAACAUGUCGUACCUUAAAUUGAGAACGACUUAUCCAAAUUUCAUGAAACUUAACAUAGUUGUUUCUUAUGAUGGUCAAACGAUCUGUAUACUUUUUGGUGGAAAUUAGAAUAAAACUUUUUGAGUUACGGGACUUUGUAACUAAAACCAGGGUGUGUUUUUUUUCAAAUGACAUGUCACACCGUAUCUCAAAAACAAUUUAUGAUUAUUGCUUAAAACUUUACACACUUCUUACUUAGAUUAAUCUUAAAAUCUGUAUACUUUUUGGUGAUGAUUCUAAAUUUUAUUGUAAAGUUAUUGAGUUUUUUUGUAAAAAAAGGGGGGGGGGGGGAGUUUCACAUGUCACACUGUAUCUCAGAAACUGUUCAUGAUUAUUGCAUAAACUUCAAACACAAGAAGACGUAUCAUGCGCUCAUGGUGCAGCUGUUUAUUUAAUUGUUUAGUCCUUUUGAUCUAAUUUCUUAAAGAUAUGUUUUAACUAAUUUUGACAAGUACAUGACUAUUUGAAUUUAUGUCUUUUUUCUUCUCGCAACACUCACUUAAACAAGUUUUUAUAGUAUUUCAGAAAUCCAGAGAAAUAUUCUUUGAAAAUAAACAUAACUUAUUCUAUGCCUCAUAAAUGUAAAACUACUUGACAAUGAAUAUUUCGUUCUAUGAAAAACAACAAAUUAUCUGCACUUCAUUAUUAAAAUAUUUGGUUUGAUUCCGAUUGUCUUUUAAAAAUUUCUACAUUUAAUACUUGGAAUGAUUAAUUAUAGAACAUUCCAUGUUUUAAGUAUCUAUGUAACACUUGUCAGAUUGGUUCUAUUUUUAUGGUUGUUUUGUUUUUGUGAAUUACUGUAGAAGUUCUUAUAUUCAUAAUCCUAAAUGACAGUUUUUCCAUUCUGUUGACAAAAAAUUUGCUCAUGAGAUUUUUAUGAGAUUUUAUUAUUAGUAUUGGACAUCAAACCCUGUCAAUGAAACAUAUUCUUUUUACAUGGUAUUAAAAUGUAUGAUUUUCAUGAGCAAUGAAAUUUUUUUCUUGGUGUUAAUUUAAUCUUUAUAUUAUAGUUUUCAUGAGCAAUGGAAAAUAAGAAUUGAAUUGAAACCAAGAAAGAACAGUAAUCUAACAAGUAUCUUUCUUGAUUGUUUUAUUUUUUUAACAUUCAAUACUUGGACUUGGUUCAGUAAAACUGACAAAGCAUGAUUUUGAAUAUGUACAUAUCUUGUAUCUAACUACAAUGUAUCUGUUUCUGUUGAUGAAAAAGUAUUUUAACAGUUUAGUGUUUAAUGAUUUUUUGUGAUUUAAAAGUAUGUAUAUGUGAAUAUUUAUUUUGAUGGAAGAAUUAAAAAACUUUAGGAAAAGCAUUGCUUAUUGUUUGUAAGAAAUACAUUAUUCUGUGAUAAAAACCAAACAUUAUUCAAUAAAAUAUCAAAGAAAAGUAUUUGUGUUAGUUGUAUUUCUAGUUGAUUAAUUUUGACUAAAUUGGCAUGGACAGAAUGAAAGGAUAGUGUAUUUAUUGUAAAGUAGGCAUACCUAUAGUUGUUAAAUUCUGUGCUAUUUUGGUCUCUUGUGGAGAGUUGUCUCAUUGGCAAUUAUACCACAUCUUUUUAUGCCCCACCUAUGAUAGUAGAGGGGCAUUAUGUUUUCUGGUCUGUGCGUCCGUUCGUCCGUCCGUUUGUCCUGCUUCAGGUUAAAAUUUUUUGUCAAGGUAGUUUUUAAUGAAGUUGAAGUCCAAUCAACUUUAAACUUAGUACACUUGUUGCUUAUGAUAUAAUCUUUCUAAUUGUAAAGCCAAAUUAGACUUUUGACCCCAAUUUCACAGUCCAUUGAACAUAGAAAAUGAAAGUGCUAGUGGGGCAUCUGUGUACUUUGGACACAUUCUUGUUUAUGUAUACUAUAUCAACAUCUACAUAAGUACCAUGUCCUGAAAAUGCAUAAAACAUUUGCCACUAGGCAUUUACAAACAAAUGUAGCAAAGAAGAAUAAUCCAUUCUUCAUUAGAACGUUUGUCAUGUUAAGAAUGGUUACUAGACCCCCAUGUGUUCAGAUCAGUUAAACAUAAGUUUUAGCAUAUGAAAGUUGCUACAAUUAUUUACAAAACUUUACUUUUUUUUCUGAUAAAGAUGUUUCUGUAAGGCAGCUGUAAAAGGCAUUCAUACUCAGAUCAAAUAGAUUAGAUAGUAAUGAUCUAUAUUUAAGUUUUCACAUGUUUUGAUUUGCAUUGACUUCUGUCUUUUGCUGAACACUGUAGGUUGACCCCUGGUUGUCAUUUGGUUAUCAUUCGCUUGCUGUGAUAUUUGGUUAAAUUUUUCAUUGGCUGCUUGCUGUUAUUUGGUUAUAUUAUUAAAUCAUUGGUUCGCUGUGUCGUUUGGUUAAAUUUAUAAUUGGCUUGCUGUGUCAUUUGGUUGUAUUUAUCAUCAUUAGCCUGCUGUGUCAUAGGAUUGUAUUUAUUAUCAUUGGCUUUCUGUGUUAUUUGGUUAAAUCUAUCAUUGGCUUGCUCUGUUAUUUGGUUAAAUCUAUCAUUGGCUUGAUGUGUCAUUUAAAAGUUAAGUGACAAAUGUCUACAUCUGUAUGGGAUAAAAAAAAAAUGAGUGGUAUGAUUUCCAAUUAGACAACUCUCCACAAGAGAUUAAAAUGACACAGAAAAUAACAACUAUAGGUCACCGUACGGCCUUCAACAAUGAGCAAAGCCCAUAUCGUAUAGUAUAUUAUUAAAUCAUUGGUUCGCUGUGUCGUUUGGUUAAAUUUAUAAUUGGCUUGCUGUGUCAUUUGGUUGUAUUUAUCAUCAUUAGCCUGCUGUGUCAUAGGAUUGUAUUUAUUAUCAUUGGCUUUCUGUGUUAUUUGGUUAAAUCUAUCAUUGGCUUGCUCUGUUAUUUGGUUAAAUUUAUCAUUGUCUUGCUGUGUCGUUUGGUUAAAUUAAUCAUUUCCUUGCUUGUCAUUUGGUUAAAUUUAUCAUUGAUAUGGUGUGUCAUUUGGUUGUACAUUUUUGUAUUUAUCAUUGUCUUGCUGUGUCAAUUUGUUCAAUUUAUCAUUAACUUGCUGUGUCAUUUGGAUAUAAUUAUUAUUGGCUUGCCUUAUUAUUUAGUUAUAUUUAUCAUUUUCUUGCUUGUCAUUUGGUAAAAUUUACCAUUGACUUGGUGUGUUAUUUGGUUAAAUUCAUCAUUGACUUGAUGUGUCAUUUGGUUAAAUUUACCAUUGACUCGAUGUGUCAUUUGGUUAAAUUUAUCAUUGACUUGAUGUGUCAUUUGGUUAAAUUUAUCAUUGACUUGAUGUGUCAUUUGGUUAAAUUUAUCAAUAGCUUGAUGUGUCAUGUCGUCCACAUCUGUAUGGAACAUAUAUAUCUGAAAUCUAGUGGAGUUGUAAAAAAGUGCCUUAUGUGAUUAGAACAUUUAAAAGUUAAGUGACAAAUGUCUACAUCUGUAUGGAUAUAAAAAAAAUGAGUGGUAUGAUUGCCAAUUAGACAACUCUCCACAAGAGAUUAAAAUGACACAGAAAAUAACAACUAUAGGUCACCGUACGGCCUUCAACAAUGAGCAAAGCCCAUAUCGUAUAGUCAGCUAUAAAAGGCCCCGAAAUGACAAUGUAAACAAUUCAAACGAGAAAACUAACGGCCUUAUUUAUAUAAACUAGAGGCUCUCAAGAGCCUGUAUCGCUCACCUGACUCUACUUGGGUUUUUGAAAUCAUAUAAAAAAAGAUAAAAUUUGGCUACAAAGUAACAACACUUGGCCACCACCUCAUUAGGAAAGGAACAUUUAUGCUAUGUAUGAUUUCAUUCAAUUCAGUGGUUCUCUAGAAGAAGACUUUUGUAUGCAUUUCCCAUAGUGUCCUAUGUUAAACAAAGUCACCCUACUGGCGGCCAUCUUGGAUGUUGGAUCGGCUACAAAGUAACAACACUUGUUCAACACCUCAUAAGGAACAUUCAUAUCAUGUUUGGUUUCAUUCGGAUCCAUUCAGUGGUUCUCUAAAAGAAGUCAUUUGUAUGAAUUUCCCAUAGUGUCCUAUGUUAAACUAAGUCCCCCGCUGGCGGCCAUAUUAGAUGAUGGAUCGGCUACAAAGUUACAACACUUGGUCAUCACAUCAUAAGGAACAUUCAUACUAUGUUUGGUUUCAUCCCAUUCAGUGUAUGGAUUUCCCAUAGGGUCCUAUGUUAAACUAAGUCCCCCGCUGGCGGCCAUCUUGGAUGAUGGAUCGGCUACAAGUAACAACACUUGGUCAGCACCUCAUAAGGAACAUUCAUGCCAUGUUUAGUUUCAUUCCAUUCAGUGGUUCUCUAGAAGAAGUUCAAAAUGUAAAAUGUUAACGACGACGGACGACAACGACGGACGACAGACGACGGACGCCGAAUGAUGAGAAAAGCUCACUGGCCCUUCGGGCCAGGUGAGCUUAAAAUGAACGAAAAACAAAUAUGCAACAAAUAAACAAACGACAACCACUGAAUUACAGGCUCCUGACUUGGGACAGGCACAUACAUACAUAAUGUGGCGGGGUUAAACAUGUUAGCGGGAUCCAAACCCUCGGCUCCCUAACCUGGGACAGUGGUAUAACAGUACAACAUACGACCGAACUAUAAAAAUCAGUUUGAAAAAGGGUUAACUCAUCAGAUGGACAAACAUACAAGUGGACGUGGUCGGGUACUUGUACAUCCCAACAAAAGACACUAGGUACAGAUCUGAGAGUACUCGAAGUUAACUGACAGCUAGUUCAAAGCUACUAACAACUAAUAAUAAAAUGGCACUGGCUACGGUUACAUGGAAAUGUAACAAUAAUAAAUAUAUUAUUGUUACAUUGGGGACUAAGGGAGCUACCAUUUGAUUUUUAGGGGGGGGAAGGAUGAAAAAUUUUGUCCUGAAUUUUUUUUUAGCUGUAAUCUCUGUCCUGCCUUUUUAUUUUUCACUCUGUUCGGUCCUGCCUUUUUUUUUAGUUUAUCCUGACUUUUUUUACCUAAAUUGUCGUCCUGACUUUUUUUUUUGCAAGUGUCUCAUCCUGCCUUUUUUUUUUACUCAAAACUCCUGUCCUGCCUAUUUUUUUCAAAUUUCAUCCUAG